rnacentral:lncRNA from 1 species
AUGUCAAGCUGUAAAAUUGUCCUGCCCACUCUCAACAGCAACAUAAUUAGCCUAGAUGCCGAAGGUAUUCAGUUACUAGACUCUGAGGCUGAUUAGUUGCAUCAGGAUGUGUUGGAUGGGCAGUUGGUUUCCUGCAUCACUGUUUUUCACCCUAGAAAGUCUUCAAAAGCAGCUACACAAGGACCCUUUCUUUGAUAUACACAUUAUGGUCUCCAGGCUGGAAUAACAGGUAAAGACAAUAGCUGCAGUAGGAACAAAUUAAUACACUUUUCAUCUUGAAGCUACUGAGAAACCAGGAGCAUUUAUUAAAGAUAUAUAGGAGAACUGGAUAAAAUUUGGUCCUUCUAUUAAGCCAGGAACUACAAUAGAGUUUUUGGCAUCAUGAGCUAAUCUAAUAGACAUGGCCUUCUGGAACCUGGGUUUGGAGGGCAGAAUUUUAUGGAACUCAUAAUGCUUGAGAGUUCAUUGACUGACACAGUUCUCGUUUUUGCACAUAGAGAUAAAUGGUUGAUUAGGUCCUGACAGUUUUUAUAAAUAUGCAAAGGUAGAAACUAACAUGAUUUUCUGGCAGAGCCAUUAUGAAAAGUGAAGACCCCAGAUCUGUGCUCAAUCUUCUGAAAAAUGUUUGCUUAGGAGCUGCUCAAAAAUAUACUUUUAA